rnacentral:misc_RNA from 1 species
GAUGAAGAACGUAGCGAAAUGCGAUACGUAAUGUGAAUUGCAGAAUUCAGUGAAUCAUCGAGUCUUUGAACGCACAUUGCGCCCCCUGGUAUUCCGGGGGGCAUGCCUGUCCGAGCGUCAUUGUUGCCCUCAAGCACGGCUUGUGUGUUGGGCCUCCGUCCUCCUCCCGGGGGACGGGCCCGAAAGGCAGCGGCGGCACCGCGUCCGGUCCUCGAGCGUAUGGGGCUUCGUCACCCGCUCUUGUAGGCCCGGCCGGCGCUUGCCGACACAUCAAACUUUUUUCCAGGUUGACCUCGGAUCAGGUAGGGAUACCCGCUGAACUUAAGCAUAUCAAUAAGCGGAGGA